CAACAGCCGGAAACGGCUGCUAAUACCCGAUAGGCUGAAAAGUGAAAGAUUUAUCGCCUGAAGAAGAGCUCGCGUUUGAUAAGCUAGUUGGUGGGGUAAAAGCCUACCAAGGCGACGAUCAGUAGCUGGUCUGAGAGGAUGAGCAGCCACACUGGGACUGAGACACGGCCCAGACUCCUACGGGAGGCAGCAGUGGGGAAUUUUCCGCAAUGGGCGAAAGCCUGACGGAGCAACGCCGCGUGAGGGAGGAAGGCCCUUGGGUUGUAAACCUCUUUUGAUGGGGAAGAAKUUCUGACGGUACCCAUCGAAUCAGCAUCGGCUAACUCCGUGCCAGCAGCCGCGGUAAUACGGAGGAUGCAAGCGUUAUCCGGAAUUAUUGGGCGUAAAGCGUCCGCAGGUGGCCCUUCAAGUCUGCUGUCWAAGCAUGGAGCUUAACUCCAWAGAGGCGGUGGAAACUGNAGAGCUAGAGGCCGGUAGGGGUAGCGGGAAUUCCCAGUGUAGCGGUGAAAUGCGUAGAGAUUGGGAAGAACAUCGGUGGCGAAAGCGCNCUACUGGGCUGGACCUGA
rnacentral:rRNA from 1 species